rnacentral:rRNA from 1 species
ACGGCUACCUUGUUACGACUUCACCCUAAUCAUCUGUCCUACCUUAGACGGCUGACUCCUAUAAAGGUUAUCCCACCGGCUUUGGGUGUUACAGACUCUCAUGGUGUGACGGGCGGUGUGUACAAGGCCCGGGAACGUAUUCACCGCGGCGUGCUGAUCCGCGAUUACUAGCGAUUCCAGCUUCGUGUAGGCGAGUUGCAGCCUACAGUCCGAACUGAGAACGGCUUUAAGAGAUCCGCUUGCCUUCGCAGGUUCGCUUCUCGUUGUACCGUCCAUUGUAGCACGUGUGUAGCCCAGGUCAUAAGGGGCAUGAUGACUUGACGUCAUCCCCACCUUCCUCCGGUUUGUCACCGGCAGUCUCAUUAGAGUGCCCAACUUAAUGAUGGCAACUAAUGACAAGGGUUGCGCUCGUUGCGGGACUUAACCCAACAUCUCACGACACGAGCUGACGACAGCCAUGCACCACCUGUCUCAGCGUCCCCGAAGGGAACACCUAAUCUCUUAGGUUUGCACUGGAUGUCAAGACCUGGUAAGGUUCUUCGCGUUGCUUCGAAUUANACCACAUGCUCCACCGCUUGUGCGGGCCCCCGUCAAUUCCUGUGAGUUUCAACCUUGCGGUCGUACUCCCCAGGCGGAGUGCUUAAUGCGUUAGCUGC